AUUGAAACACCAGUUCCCAUACGAUCUCUGAAGUUAAGCAAUGCCAAGCCUGGCCACUACCUAGAUGCUUGGGAAUACCAGGUGCUGUAAG